ACAUUCCACUUCUCAGCAGGAGUAAAAUACGGUGGGUUAUUAAAAGCCAAUCUAUUACCUUUUCAAGAUAUCUUAAUCAUCACCUCUGUGAUGUUGCUUCCACUUAUUAAUCAUUUAGGCUUGCGGUGUGUUCAGUAAGAGGGUGGAAGCAGUGGGAAGAAAGAGAGUAGGCAUAUAAAGAAGAAUCUUGCGACUCUUUAAAUAUUAAGUGGCAGCUAUCCAUGAAAGUUUCUACCACAGUAAAGUGGCGAGUCUUCAAGAUGCCACGCCUUGCUACACCAGGUAUGUAUAGGUGACUGUUUGUCAUCGUGAUACUCAAAGCUGGCGCUCUGGAAGGAGCCAGUGUGAUGUAGUGGUUAAGAGCGGUGGACUCGUAAUCUGGUGAACCGGGUUCGCUUCCCUGGUCCUCCACAUGCAACUGCUGGGUGACCUUGGGCUAGUCACACUUCUUUGAAGUCUCUCAGCCCCACUCACCUCACAGAGUGUUUGUUGUAGGGGAUGAAGGGAAAGGAGAUUGUUAGCCGCUUUGCGACUCCUUCGGGUAGUGAUAAUGCGGGAUAUCAAAUCCAAACUACUACCCUAAUUCUUCUUCUUCUUCUUCUUGCUGAAGCGCAGCAGGAAGAAAAUAACACUGAUCAGCUAAUAGAAAAUGUAGUAGUCUUUAAGGAUCCACAAGACUCUUUUGCUGAUUUUGCUAACACAGUUAUCAAUCUCAUUGUUCUCGUUAGAAUUUGAGAAAAGGCAACAUUCUUGCUUUCUGUAGGGUGCAUCUUGGCUCAGUUGCUUGGCUUAUCUGGAGUGACCUGCAGGCAACCUUCUGCAGUGCACCUGCUCUGUGCUUGUGGCCUAGAUUACAUAGGAUGUUCCCUGGGAGACUGGCAGGGAUCCAGUCUAAACACUGCUGGGGGUUUAAGCACUCAUCACAGGAGAAGGCCUAGUCAGCAGAAUUAGCCAGACCAUCUCGAAGGCUGAACCCACAGGACUCACGCCACUCAUUUCUGCAUGUACUGUAUGUUAAGAUAUUUCAGAAGUUAUUGAUACCAGUUCUUCGUUAAUUGGCAGGAAAGGAGAGGAGGAAUAAUCAAAGGGCUGGCCUGCACAUGUAUACUCAGUAUAUGACUCAAAAGGGUGAAUGAUCCACCACAGAACUUUCAAACCAAUGGAUGUUUUUCAUGCCGUUAGUUUGCACCAUCAGCAAGGGAUGGUCGGUUCAUGCAUGGCUGCAACCUUCCUUGAUUUCUCCGCACUCGGUUGCCAAACGCUCUGGUCUGUUGUGUUCCCCUGCCCAGCAAGCAGCAUAACCAUCCUGAUUUGCUGAACACAUGGAGGGGAAAUGGUUGCAGUUUCACCACUGCAUAAUAAUAAUAAUAAUAAUAAUAAUAAUAAUAAUAAUAAUAUGCCCCGCUCAUAUGGCUGGGUUGCCAAGCCACUUUGGGCAGCUUCCAAGACAUAAAAACAUAAUAAAACAUCAAACAUUAAUAGUAACAAUCUGAUCCAAUAUAAAAGUCACAAUAACUUUAAAAUAAACAACUUAUAUCAAACACAGCAACAUUCAGCAAUCUAAUAGUAAACAGUAAUAUUGCCGUACUCCCCCAUGUAUAACACGCCCCCUGUUUCUGGGGACUCAAAAUUUAGAAAAUGGGAAAAGAUUACCCAGAGUUGUUGAGCUUUUUUUGGGGGGGGGGGUCAUUCAACCGCCUGGCCAAGACUGCCAAUAUCACACGUCACUGAAGCCGACAAUCGUAUACCUGCUCACCGCCAGCAGCCGCCAAUCUCACAGCCAAUCGAAAGCAGCCCUUGCCACAGCCACCAAUCACCCAAACAAUCACUGCUGACAAUCUCCUACUCACGGCAGCUACCAAUCACCCAUCCCCACUCUGCACUACCUAUGUAUAAGACGACCCCAAAUUUUUCACAUUAUUAUAACAGAAAAAAACCUCUUCUUAUACUAGGAAACGUAUGGUAAACAUAAGCAAAUAUUAAUUAAACAGUUCAACCACAAUAAAGAAUUGCCCAUCUAUAAUCAAUAAAAGUGGGGACGUGGGUGGCGCUGUGGUCUAAACCACAGAGCCUAGGACUUGCCGAUCAGAAGGUCGGUGGUUCGAAUCCCCGCGACAGGGUGAGCUCCCAUUGUUUGCUCCCAGCUCCUGCCCACCUAGCAGUUCGAAAGCACCUCAAAGUGUAAGUAGAUGGGUGGGAAGGUAAACAGCGUUUCCGUGCGCUGCUCUGGUUCGCCAGAAGCAGCCUAGUCAUGCUGGCCACAUGACCCGGAAGUGUACACCGGCUCCCUCGACCAAUAAAGCAAGAUGAGCGCCGCAACCCCAGAGUCGGCCACGACUGGACUUAAUGGUCAGGGGUACCUUUACCUUUAAUCAAUAAAAGUAGCAGCAUAUCACAAUGCACAAAAUACCACAAAACAUACAAAACCAUGUAAAUAAAAUUUCAGCAGCAGAAGAUGGACAGGUAUUGCUAGUGAUGGAGAGGUGGGAUUCUGCACAUUCACCAACAAUGGCAUGGACCACGUCAUCUUGGGUGAGAUAAUUACACUACUGUCAGCUCAUACCCAAAUAUACUCUAUCUGAUUAAAAAACAACACACACACAAUAAAUCAGCCCUGUGGGGUAAGGAUGAGGGGGAAGAGGCACAAUAACAGGGAAAACACAGGAAUCCAGUGGUUUGUGGCUUGCCGGUGGAAAAGUGCUUCCACACCACCCUUUCCCCCGCUAUAGGGGCUACCAUAAAGAAUGGUAGUUCACACUGUUUUAGGGUGGGGGGAAACCACUUUAUCCGAAGUAAGCUAGGAAGAGUGAUUUGUUUUGUAUAAGUCCCCCCCCCCCCCGUACUUGCCCUGGUCUAAUUAGCUUGAAACAGUCCCCACCUAUUGACCUCGCAGAGAGUCUCCCCUUCUCCCCCCCCCCCCAUGGGUCUCUUAGCCUUUCAUCAUGCCAGAGAUGUCUUCACUAUAGAAACCAAGUGUAUUUGGUAAACAUAACUGCUUCUUCCCCCUUCCCAUCUUUCUUACGCUCGGAUGUCUUAGGUUAUCAAAGCUAAACACCCUAGAAAAUCACAGUGUCAUAUUUUGAGGGGGUGGAAUGACCCAUUUCAAAGACCUAGCCCCUUGAUUAAUGGUGGGUGGGUGGGUGUGGGUGGGUGUCUAUACAAUGAGUGCAGGACACCUGCAAAAGCCAGGGUUAGAGAAGAUAAUGUUGCUAUUGUGUUAUCAGAGGCAGCCUGGUUCAAAGGUUAGUUUAUUUGAAGUCCUUGAAUUUAAAUCCAAGUGCUCUUCCCCCAAAGAGUUAUUUUGAGUGGAAUAAAUGUUUCCCAUGCAUUUUACUACUGGGAAGAUCAUUGCAACGGAGGCUUGUUUAUUCUGAAAGGAAACUUGUAAAGAUAAAACAUAGUUCCCGAGGAUUCUCACCAGAGCCUUGAACAAUGUAAGUAUCUUUUUAUUCACUUUAAUUAUUAGAUUUAGCUUGACUCCCUCUUUCUUCUCCCCCUCUUUCUUUUCUUUUCUUUUUUUACAAGUGAAUGUACUCCUUCUCAGGCCCCAGCUUCUCCUGAGACUUCUCUCACAAUCAACACUGUUAAUAAAAUGUUUUAAACAGAAACAAAGGAAUUCCAG
rnacentral:lncRNA from 1 species